CCUACGGGUGGCUGCAGUGAGGAAUAUUGGUCAAUGGGCGGGAGCCUGAACCAGCCAAGCCGCGUGAGGGAAGAAGGUACAGCGUAUCGUAAACCUCUUUUGUCAGGGAACAAAGGCGGGGACUAGUCCCCGGAUGAGGGUACCUGAAGAAAAAGCAUCGGCUAACUCCGUGCCAGCAGCCGCGGUAAUACGGAGGAUGCGAGCGUUAUCCGGAUUUAUUGGGUUAAAAGGGUGCGCAGGCGGCCUGUUAAGUCAGCGGUAAAAGUCAGGGGCGCAACCCCGUCGAGCCGUGGAAACUGGCGGGCUGGAGUGGGAGAGAAGUACGCGGAAUGCGCGGUGUAGCGGUGAAAUGCAUAGAUAUCGCGCAGAACCCCGAUUGCGAAGGCAGCGUACCGGCUCCACACUGACGCUGAUGCACGAAAGUGUGGGUAUCGAACAGGAUUAGAUACCCUUGUAGUC
rnacentral:rRNA from 1 species